rnacentral:tRNA from 1 species
GCCGAAGUGGUGGAAUUGGUAGACACGCCAGGUUCAGGGUCUGGUGCUCGCAAGGGUGUGAAGGUUCGAGUCCUUUCUUCGGCACCA